GAUGAACGCUGGCGGCGUGCCUAAUACAUGCAAGUCGAGCGAACAGACGAGGAGCUUGCUCCUCUGACGUUAGCGGCGGACGGGUGAGUAACACGUGGAUAACCUACCUAUAAGACUGGGAUAACUUCGGGAAACCGGAGCUAAUACCGGAUAAUAUAUUGAACCGCAUUGUUCAAUAGUGAAAGACGGUUUUGCUGUCACUUAUCGAUGGAUCCGCGCCGCAUUAGCUAGUUGGUAAGGUAACGGCUUACCAAGGCAACGAUGCGUAGCCGACCUGAGAGGGUGAUAGGCCACACUGGAACUGAGACACGGUCAAGACUACUACGGGAGGCAGCAGUAGGGAAUCGUCCGCAAUGGGCGAAAGCUUGACGGAGCAACGCCGCGUGAGUGAUGAAGGUCUUCGGAUCGUAAAACUCUGUUAUUAGGGAAGAACAAAUGUGUAAGUAACUAUGCACGUCUUGACGGUACCUAAUAAGAAAGCCACGGCUAACUACGUG
rnacentral:rRNA from 1 species